GGAUAACCUGCCCUUGGGACCGGCAUAACCCCGGGAAACUGGGGAUAAUUCCGGAUAACGCAUAUUUGCUGGAAUGCUUUAUGCGUCAAAAGGAUUCGUCUGCCCAAGGAUGGGUCUGCGGCCUAUCAGGUAGUAGUGGGUGUAAUGUACCUACUAGCCAGCGACGGGUACGGGUUGUGAGAGCAAGAGCCCGGAGAUGGAUUCUGAGACAUGAAUCCAGGCCCUACGGGGCGCAGCAGGCGCGAAAACUUUACAAUGCGGGAAACCGUGAUAAGGGGACACCGAGUGCCAGCAUCAUAUGCUGGCUGUCCGGAUGUGUAAAAUACAUCCGUUAGCAAGGGCCGGGCAAGACCGGUGCCAGCCGCCGCGGUAACACCGGCGGCCCGAGUGGUGAUCGUGAUUAUUGGGUCUAAAGGGUCCGUAGCCGGUUUGGUCAGUCCUCCGGGAAAUCUGAUAGCUUAACUAUUAGGCUUUCGGGGGAUACUGCCAGACUUGGAACCGGGAGAGGUAAGAGGUACUACAGGGGUAGGAGUGAAAUCUUGUAAUCCCUGUGGGACCACCUGUGGCGAAGGCGUCUUACCAGAACGGGUUCGACGGUGAGGGACGAAAGCUGGGGGCACGAACCGGAUUAGAUACCCGGGUAGUCCCAGCCGUAAACGAUGCUCGCUAGGUGUCAGGCAUGGCGCGACCGUGUCUGGUGCCGCAGGGAAGCCGUGAAGCGAGCCACCUGGGAAGUACGGCCGCAAGGCUGAAACUUAA
rnacentral:rRNA from 1 species